UCUCUGUUAGUAUAUCGGUUAGUACACGCGCCUGUCAUGCUUGGCGUUCGCGCGAAAGCGGGGUUCGACUCCCCGACAGAGAG